UACGUAGGGGGCUAGCGUUGUCCGGAAUCAUUGGGCGUAAAGCGCGCGUAGGCGGCCCGGUAAGUCCGCUGUAAAAGUCAGGGGCUCAACCCUUGAACGCCGGUGGAUACUGUCGGGCUAGAGUACGGAAGAGGCAAGUGGAAUUCCUGGUGUAGCGGUGGAAUGCGCAGAUAUCAGGAGGAACACCUAUAGCGAAGGCAGCUUGCUGGGACGUUACUGACGCUAAGGCGCGAAAGCGUGGGGAGCGAACAGG
rnacentral:rRNA from 1 species